UAAAGGGAGCGUAGGCGGAUUGUUAAGUCAGCGGUUAAAGGGUGUGGCUCAACCAUGCAUUGCCGUUGAAACUGGCGAUCUUGAGUGCAGACAGGGAUGCCGGAAUUCGUGGUGUAGCGGUGAAAUGCUUAGAUAUCACGAAGAACUCCGAUCGCGAAGGCAGGUGUCCGGGCUGCAACUGACGCUGAGGCUCGAAAGUGUGGGUAUCAAACAGGAUUAGAUACCCUGGUAGUCCACACAGUAAACGAUGUAUACUCGCGGUUUGCGAUAGAGUGUAAGCCGCCAAGCGAAAGCAUUAAGUAUACCACCUGGGGAGUACGCCGGCAACGGUGAAACUCAAAGGAAUUGACGGGGGCCCGCACAAGCGGAGGAACAUGUGGUUUAAUUCGAUGAUACGCGAGGAACCUUACCCGGGCUUGAAC
rnacentral:rRNA from 1 species